AGAGUUUGAUCCUGGCUCAGGACGAACGCUGGCGGCGUGCCUUAUGAAUGCGAGUCGAGCGGGGUACCACACUGCAGCAUUCGUCAAUCUGCCUUCGGGCAGAGCGACGGAAACUGCGCCGUGGUACCUAGCGGCGAACGGGUGAGUAACACGUGGGUAACGUGCCCCGGAGUCUGGGAUAACCUCCAGAAAUGGUGGCUAAUACCGGAUAUUAUGCCGAAAGGCAUCUUUUGUGUAUGAAAGGACUUCGGUCCGCUCCGGGAUCGGCCCGCGGCCUAUUAGCUUGUUGGUAGGGUAACGGCCUACCAAGGCUGCGAUGGGUAGCCGGCCUGAGAGGGUGGUCGGUCACACUGGGACUGAGACAUGGUCCAGACUCCUAUGGGAGUUAGCAUCAGGGAAUCUUGCUCAAUGGGCGAAAGCCUGAAGCAGCGACGCCGCGUGGGUGAUGAAGGCCUUCGGGUCGUAAAGCCCUGUCAGGGGGGACGAAUGCCGGGUGCUUAGCGCACCCGGAGUGACGGUACCCCCAAAGGAAGCCCCGGCUAACUACGUGCCAGCAGCCGCGGUAAGACGUAGGGGGCGAGCGUUGUCCGGAUUUAUUGGGCGUAAAGCGCGCGUAGGCGGCCAGGUAAGUCGUAGGUGAAAUCCCUGGGCUCAACCCAGGAACGGCUUACGAUACUGCUUGGCUAGAGUACGGGAGAGGAGAGUGGAAUUGCUGGUGUAGCGGUGAAAUGCGUAGAUAUCAGCAGGAACGCCCGUGGCGAAGGCUGCUCUCUGGAACGCUACUGACGCUGAGGCGCGAAAGCUAGGGGAGCAAACGGGAUUAGAUACCCCGGUAGUCCUAGCUGUAAACGAUGGGCACUAGGUGUUGGGGGCAUCGACCCUCCCAGUGCUGUAGCUAACGCGUUAAGUGCCCCGCCUGGGGAGUACGGUCGCAAGGCUGAAACUCAAAGGAAUUGACGGGGGCCCGCACAAGCGGUGGAGCAUGUGGCUCAAUCGGAUGCAACGCCGGGAACCUUACCAGGGCUUGACAUCCCCGGACAAUCCGGGAAACCGGACUUCCUGCGCAAGCAGGUCGGGUGACAGGUGGUGCAUGGCUGUCGUCAGCUCGUGUCGUGAGAUGUUGGGUUAAGUCCCGCAACGAGCGCAACCCUCAUCAGAUGUUGCCAUCGGGUAAAGCCGGGCACUCUUCUGAAACUGCCUGAGUAAUCAGGAGGAAGGUGGGGACGACGUCAAGUCGGCAUGCCCCUUACGCCCUGGGCUGCACACGUGCUACAAUGGCCGGUACAGAGGGCAGCGAAGCCGUGAGGCGGAGCGAAUCCCUAAAGCCGGUCCCAGUUCGGAUUGGAGUCUGCAACUCGACUCCAUGAAGUCGGAAUCGCUAGUAACCGCGAAUCAGCAACGUCGCGGUGAAUACGUUCCCGGGCCUUGUACACACCGCCCGU
rnacentral:rRNA from 1 species